rnacentral:rRNA from 1 species
AAGCGGGGGAAGGAAACAACCGUGAUUCUAUUAGUAGCGGCGAGCGAACAGGGAAGAGCCCACGCUGAAUCUCUGCUUAUUAAUUUAAGCAGCGAAUUGUAGCGUAUGGGUAAUUGAUCUACUAAUCAUUAUGUUUACCAGUAAAGUUGUCUGGAAUGACAUGCCAAGGAGGGUGAUAGCCCCGUACCUGGCAUAAUGUUUAGCAAGGUCAAUUGCUCGAGAGUAGGACUGUUUGAGAAUGCAGUCUGAAAUGGGUGGUGAACUCCACCUAAGGCUAAAUACGGACACGAGACCGAUAGCACAAAAGUACCGUAAGGGAAAGGUGAAAAAGCACUCUGAAAAGAGAGUUAAAAGUGCUUGAAACCAACCGGGGGAAAAGGCUGAAGCAAUACCUCGUUACCGUUUAUGCCAAAAUAUAGUGUAAUCAAUUACAUUCGGGUAUAAUUGAUCUACAUUGUUUAGAUAGGAAUAAACGCUACGUGCGAGGCUAUGUAGCUCUAUUAACGCUAAUUAAUGGCUAUAGAAUUGAUAACUCUAUAAACUUAAUUAGUCUUCCUAAGAGUAAUAGAGUUGCAUAUGCAGUCACUAAGGGGUACAACAUAAUUAUUAGAUUACUCUCGAGUAUGUCUAGUUAUAUAUGUAUGAAGUUACUUUGUUGUUAGUAAUAAUCAUUUGUAGCUUCUGAUUGAUCAAUUCAUUUUUGUUUUGAUUGAUAGUUACAUUUGAUUUUAUUGAAAAUUUAGUAACUAAAUAGUACCACCAGUUCUCGUGCGAGAUGGUAGCUUCAGUCCCGUCUUGAAACACGGACCAAGGAGACCUACUGCUACGCGAGUCGAAGGGUGUAAAACCCAGAGGCGAAGCGAAAGCGAAAGGUGCCAACUGUUCAUAUGUUAGAAUAGUGCAGCACCGGCCUUCAUUAUUAUUCAUCUUGUAUGAUAAAAUGAUGAGCUAGAGCGUAGCGGCAAGGACCCGAAAGAUGGUGGAGCUAUGCCCGAGCAGGAUGAAGCCAGGAGAAAUCCUGUGGAGGUCCGUAGCGAUUCUGACGUGCAAAUCGAUCAUUAGACUCGGGUAUAGGGCGAUAGACCAAUCGACCAUCUAGUAGCUGGUUCCCUCCGAAAUAUCCCUCAGGAUCGCGGACAUCAUAUCGAUUGAUCAGUUUCAUCACGUAGGGAGAAUGAUUGGAGGUUUCGGGAACGCAAUGUUCUCGGCCUACUCUCAAACUUCGAAGUGGUGACAAGAGUAUGUUUCGGGCGUGAAUUGGGCUAAUUUAUAGUAUUGAGCAUACUCGGGAAUGAUCGAUGUCCAGUGGGCCAUUUUUGGUAAGCAGAACUGGCGAUCCGGGAUGAACCGAAAGUCGAGUUAAGGUGCCCAACUGAGAUUUAAUUGAUACCAUUAAAGGUGUCGGUCAAUGUAGACAGCAGGGCGGUGGCCAUGGAAGUCGGCAUCCGCUAAGGAGUGUGUAUUAACUCACCUGCCCAAUUGACCGGUCCUGAAAAUGGAUGGCGCUUAAUAUUUCGACCGAUACUCGGCCGUUUGAGAUGACUACUCAAACGGGUAGGGGGGCACAACGGUAGUUGAGAAGGAUCAACGUGAGUUGGUCUGGAACUGCCGUUGGAGCUGAUCUUGGUGGUAGUAGCAACUAUUCGGGUGGGAACCUCGAAGUCCGAGGUGGAGACGGGUUCCAUGUCAAUUGUAGUAAGACAUGGGUUAGUCGGUCCUAAGUGACUCCCGAAGGGGUUUAAAGACAGGCAUCGAUUUUUAACUGUCAGUCACGAAAGGGAACCAGGUUAAUAUUCCUGGACCAGAUAUUGGAAUUUUGGCUAGUUGUCCAAUAUUAGAGCAUUUGACUUGUCAAGUGUUUUAGUAUUGGUUUGUUGAAUAGGAAACUGUUUAACAUUCAAAACAACCUGUCAAUAAGCGGUAACGCGACCUAACUGAGCGAUGUCGGACGUAGCCAGAGGAAGAGUUU